UACGUAGGGUGCAAGCGUUAUCCGGAUUCACUGGGUUUAAAGGGUGCGUAGGCGGAUAUGUAAGUCCGUGGUGAAAUCUCUGGGCUUAACCCGGAAACUGCCAUGGAUACUAUGUGUCUUGAAUGUUGUUGAGGUGAGCGGAAUAUGUCAUGUAGCGGUGAAAUGCUUAGAUAUGACAUAGAACACCAAUUGCGAAGGCAGCUCACUAAGCAAAUAUUGACGCUGAGGCACGAAAGCGUGGGGAUCAAACAGG
rnacentral:rRNA from 1 species